rnacentral:lncRNA from 1 species
UUUUAGGGCUGGAUCCAUGGCAUGUGGAAGCUCCCAGGCUAGGGGUCCAAAGGGAGCUGCAGCUGCCAGUCUAGACCAUAGCCACAGCAAUGCCAGAUCCAAGCAUAGUCUGUGACCUACCCGCAGCUCACAGCAAUGCCCGACCCUCAACCCACUGAUCAAGCCCACCUGCAUCCUCAUGGAUACCAGUUCGGUUCUUAACCCACUGCGCCACAACAGAAACUAAUGGCAUGUCCAGCUGCCCAUGCCCAAGAGCAUACAGUUGUUCCCACUCACUGACUAAAGAGACUGAAAGAUUUCUCUCUUGUUAUACCAUGAAAGCAGGGCAGAGCAGUGACUUUCUCUGCACCUCAUUCUUGCACCAGGCCUUCACCAAAAAUGGUUAAAGGCCAUCUGCUGUGUGCAGAAAAGGGUCCUCAGAAGCGAUGAGGGAGAAACCCUAGAUCAUAGGUCUAGAGAGAAGAGUGCCCUCUUCCCUCAGAUGGGGGCCAAGGAAAAUAAAUGUGGAAGAAUUUUUCUUGGCAUGAUUUCUAAUUGUUGAGACUAUUUCUUGCAGGUUUUUUUUUUUUUUUGGUCUUUUUGUCUUUUUAGGGCCUCAUGUGCACCAUAUGGAGGUUCCCAGACUAGGGGUCCAAUAAGAGUUGUAGCUGCCAGUCUACACCACAGCCACAGCAACGUGGGAUCCAAGUUGCAUCUGUGACCUACACUGCAGCCCAAGGCAACACUGGAUCCUUAACCUAUUGAGCAAGGCCAGGGAUUGAACCCGAGUCCUCAUGGAUACUAGUCAGGUUCGUUAACCACUAAGCCAUGAUGGGAAUGCCAGUUCUUCCUUUUUUUAAGUUUCAUUGAAGUAUAGUUAAUUUAUAAGGCUGUGAUAAUUACUGCUAUACAACAAAGUGACCCAGUCAUACAUAUACACAUAUGUAUACACUCUCUCAGAUUCUUUUCCCACAUAGAUUAUCACGGAAUAUUGGGUAGAGUUCCCUGUGCUGUACAGCAGGUCCCUGAUGGCCAACGAUUCCAAUAGGAAUACCUCAGUGUUUCUUGCCAACUUUGAUUUUUACCUUCUCUAGGGUUUUUUAGAUGAUAUAUUAAUAAGCCUUUAAUCACUCUCUACUGCAUUUCUGUAUUUUAAUUCUCUGCAGAAUGCUUACUAUUUGAUACUUACCUCAUUGUUUGUUUGUUUUAAAUCAAAGUUCCCCAAGAUUGGGAAACCCAUAUCUGCUGAGUGCCACUGUCCUGACCCCACAGGACAGAAGCUGGCACCUAAGAGGCCCCAAUCCAUAUCUGCUUAAUAAACCAACCAUAUCCCACUAAAUCCACACUUUGUAACUUUCAUCUGAUGGACCUUCCUCCACAGGUUCAAAAAAAUUCCCAGAUAUGAGAUCGCCAUCAACCCGAGCGCAUAAAAACUGUUUUCACUAGGAAAAAUAAAUGGGCUUACUUCCUUGAUCAGAAGGUAGCAGUGAAGAAUUUCAUAGAUAGGCUCUUAAUUUUCAGACACAAUUCAGAGUGUGACCCCUGGGCAGCUUUUUAUCUCAAGGACAGCACUACGCCAAAAACACAGAUCAUCACAGUUUAUGACUUUUAAUUUACGAAUGCUUGAAAUAGGUCCAAAUCAUCUGUUCACACUUGUAUUUAUCAUGUGCCCACCCAGAAGAAUAGGGAUUCUGGAGUCUUCAGUGCUCCACCACCAGCCUCAGGGCCAAUCUGCUCAGGUGGUUGGUAACCCCAGGCCAGAAGUCUACCAGUCCCCAGGGAGCAAUGUUUGCAGCAACCUUUGUACUCAUACUGGAGUGUCUGACUAUUUGCUUUUGUUACAUUAACUGCUUGUGAUGUGGCCUUGUAUCUUAUCAGAAAAUGACCUUGAAAUUCACUGCCCAGUGCCAAGAAGCCACAAAAGAGUCUUACUGGAAGCAUGAAACCAUCAGCUCAGUCAGUAAGGCACGGGAGGGCUUCUAGGGGCAGGUGAAGACUCCGGGGCUCCUCCCCUCAUAAGGGCAGAUGCAGCAGGAGCCUGGGAGCACUGUCUCUUCCUCCAGCUUGAGGCAGCAAUUACUGACAAACUAAUAAGCCACUCUACACAGCAGUGGAAAAAUAACAGCCCUUGAUCCUGACUUCCUAUGGAAACUUCCUAUAGACAAAUGUUCUGAUGGGUGUAUUCUUAGGAUGUUCGUGCAUGAAGAAUGCACACCCUGCAUAGGGCAAGACAGCCCUCAAAGCCACUGUGGUAACUGAGGAUACAGACUAGUUCUAUAACUUCAUGGCAAAAAAAAGGACAUGACUUCUUAGGCCCGUCUCUUUCCUGUAAAGGGAGAGCUAGCAGGUUCAGGGGUGUGCCUUAGAUUUGGGGUGGAGGGAGAUCUGAGGUUCAACUACAAAACAGAAAUAGCGAACAGAACAGAAAACACCAAGUUCUUGGCCCGGGGCACCAGCAGCCCAGAGAGCCAGCACCAGUUCCCAAAUGGCCCAGCACCCAGCCAGCCAGGCUGUGAGAAAGGAGCUAAGAUCCAAAAAGCCAAAGGAAAGCCCAGGGAAACUGUCUUGCUCCAAGUCCCCAUCUCUUAACUUCCAAAUGAUUUGAGUUAGAAUUCACUGGUUUCAUGAAUAUGACAGUCUAUUUAGCAUGCUGAUAUUUAAAAAGUAAAACAUCUACAUAAAAACUGUCUUGAGACAAAAACAGGGAAAAUCUUUCAGUGUUUCCGUUUUUUCCCCAUUUUUAUUUUAUCCUAUAAAAUUUCCAAGUCAAGAUCAAAACAAUGACAGUGGAAUGCCAUGCUCUCUUGCCUUAGACUUUGGCACCUGGGGUUCCCUGGCAUUCCCUCUCUCCACUGGCUCCUGUUUGUCCUCCAGGCAUUGGUCCAAAAGGUCCUGGGCUCACACUGCUCCUUAGCCCUCACCCUGCAGAAUCUACUCACACACUAGCGCUGCUUUUCCCACUGCAUGGUGCCUAACAUGGGGCCUGACUUCUAGAACACCAUUCAUUUGCUGCUGAAUAAAUGAGUGAAUGAAUGAAUGUAUGCAUGACGGGGAGAAUGACUGACGGAGGAGCCUCACAAACCAACAAGCAAAGAAUAACUGAAAGGGUGCAGAGAAAGGGAUAACUGUAUGUCGAGUUAUGUUAAGGGUGAAAUUGUGUAUUUCUUUUCAUGCUGUCAAGCUGUUUUACUAAGCGGAGAAAUUCAUUAAACAUUGGCUGGCAUACAGAAGGUAAAAAAGUAUUUACUGAGUGAGCAUAACAAAUAACGGAUUGGUCUACAUAAAGAAAACCAUCUUUUCCUUGCCUAAGAAGCUAUUCCUGAAAAAGGAUUAACACUUGCAUAGUCUUUGGAACACACAAACAAUUUCCUGCCUUUAUUGGUAGCUCUCCUUCAAACAUCAUUCUACAAGUAUAUUUCUUGAACUGCUCACCUGCUUAUUCCAAAAAAUAUUUAUGGUGUAUAACAAAGAUAGAUUCUGAAACUAAGACUCCCUUUAGUAUUUAAUUAUAAAUUUUCCUUUUUUAAAUUUUUUAAAUGAUUUUUAUUUUUUCCAUUAUACUGUAAACACUGGUUUAUAGUGUUCUGUCAAUUUUCUAGCAUACAGCAAAGUGACCCAGUCAUGCAUACAUACAUACAUUCUUUUUAAAUUUUCUCUUCAACUGGCAAACAUCUUAAGAACUCCAUAUGAAGUUCCUGUCAUGGCACAGUGGUUAAUGAAUCUGACUAGGAACCAUGAGGUUUCAGGUUCAGUCCCUGGCCUUGCUCAGUGGGUUAAGGAUCUGGUGUUGCCGUGAGCUGUGGUGUAGGUCGCAGACGUGGCUCAGAUCCUGUGUUGCUGUGGCUCUGGCAUAGGCCAGCAUCUACAGCUCUAAUUAGACCCCUAGCCUGGGAACC